UACAGAGGGUGCAAGCGUUGUUCGGAAUUAUUGGGCGUAAAGCGCGUGUAGGCGGCUUUGCAAGUCGGGUGUGAAAGCCCUCAGCUCAACUGAGGAAGUGCGCCCGAAACUGCAGAGCUUGAGUACCGGAGAGGAUGGCGGAAUUCCCCAAGUAGAGGUGAAAUUCGUAGAUAUGGGGAAGGAACACCGGUGGCGAAGGCGGCAUCCUGGACCGGCAUUGACGCUGAGGAGCGAAAGCCAGGGGAGCAACGGG
rnacentral:rRNA from 1 species